ensembl:lncRNA
AUCACCCCUAUGCCAAAAUGGUUUGGUCUUUGGAGAAGAAAAAAGACGACAUCAUUCCAUUAGUGGUCAGUGCGCGAGUUGAUUCAACAUGCACAAGUCAGGAGCCCUGAAAAAAAAAGAAAGGCGAAAAAGAGAGGAAGAAGCCGAAAGCCUGAGGGGAUCUCUUUAUAAAUAUUUAUAAAUAUUUCAGAAAAGACUCAGGUGAUGCUGCAGCCGGUACCAGUAAAGGCAGCUGUGCAGCACAGCCAGUUGCCUUAUUAGGUCCUCCACAGUCGCCCCAUCAGUCCCUGGCAGUCUGGUCCCUGGAGCAGCUGGCCCUGGCAAAAGUUAUUCCUUCACUGUUGACCCCUGACUGACCCUCGGCACACAAAUCCCUGGAUCACCUGCCACUGGAUCACCUGCCCUGAAUCACCUGCCCCUGGCAAUGUGGCCUCUUGAUUGCUCUCUGUGUCUCCUGUGAUGUCCUUUUCAACGCUCUUGAAAUCCACCUAAAUUUCUCCCUCAAUCUCUGUAACAAUUACAAGGUAAUGUUGAUGCUAUAUGUAUUUUGCCUUUGCAUUUGCAACUACUGUCAUCUCCAAUGUAAGAAAAUGAAUUAAAGCAAAACAUUUCUGUAAUGUGAAUUAAAUCAUCUGCCACAAUCAGAAACCAAUACAAUUUAUAAAUGGAUCUACCGGCAAUUGUUAAUUGGGUAAAAAUGUGUCGAUUAUCUACAUUGUGUGCAAAUCCUCAGAGAAUCCCUGCCUUCUGGUUGUUUUUUUAAACUGAAUGUGCAAACAUGAAUUAUGUAAUCUCAUUAGGAGUGUAGUCUAUCCUAGAAUUACAUGAAAUGGGGAAUAUUGUAAGCUGCAUGGAUCAUACCGAAGUUUAAUUUGGCGCAAUAUGGGUGGUCCGUUGCACUUGGUUCC